rnacentral:ribozyme from 1 species
CAAAGAGAAAAACGGAACAAAAGGAAGGUCAUAAUUCCUCAGAAAAUGUUACAAAUAUGUAAACUUUUUAUUAUAUUUUAUUUUAUUAUAUUAUUUUUUUAUAUUUUUUGUGUUCAUUUAUUUUUAAUAUA